UCCCAACCCCGGACACCGCGGCGCUGCCCCGGCUCGGGGCGCUUCUCCGAAGCGUUCGGGGGGCAGCCCCGCUCCCUCCCUCCCUCCCUCGCCUCCCCCGCCGGCCGUUCCCGAUGCCGCCCCCCGGUUCGGGCCCUGCAGAGCGGCCGGCGGCUCCGGACGCUGCCGUCCCCGCAUUGUCCCGCAGCCGGGCGCGGAGGCUCCGCAUUGUUCCGCGCUCGCCCCGCAUUGUCCCGCGGCCGGGCGCCCCCUGGCGCGGGCUGUCCGCGCCGCAGCGCUCCAUUGUUCUGCGGGGCCGGGGCAGCUGCGGGGAGGCUGCGGAGCUGUUUGUUGCGGUGACUCCGCCGCUCUUUCAUUUCAAUCGGUCCCGAAGCGACGGGAGACGAAUCUUGGCCCGUUCAUGGGCGGCGGGUGAAUGCAGCUCGGGGCUUCGGAGCACUCCGAGCCCUGAGCCCGCACCGCGAGGCCCCGGCCGCCCCCGCCGCAGCACGGGGGGGGCCCUUCGGCGCGGGGCCCGGCGUACGCGGCCGCGUCGCCUUCCCAAACAAACGCGUACGAGGAGGGAAAUCGAUGCAGAUGAUGUUUAGAAGAUUAAAAGAGCAUUCACGCUGGCAACAUAAACGCGUGGACCCAGCGUUCAUUGAUCUGGAACCUGAGCCGGCUUGCUUCCAACAACACUACUGCUGUUCGGCUUUCCCCGCACCCCGCCUGCCUUCGACACCGUCUAACUCCGUCCUGCCGUUCCGGGGCUGCCCCGGGCCCGGCACGGAGCGGUAACUGUGAGCGCCAGGAGCCCGCUGUGCGCGGGGAGCGGCCGGCAUUGCCUUGUCCUGCCGGGCCAACAAGGCUCCCCCGCACCGCCGCCUCUGCGCUCCUUGGGGCUGGGGCUCGAGAUUUGAGCCUGCUCGUGUAUAGGAAGGGCGGUAAAAUACCCCUGAACCCGUUUUUGCUUCGGGCUGUGUCGACCAGAUGCAGCCGUGUCCGGUUCUGGUUCUGGUUCCGUUACCACCGCCGGGACUUCGGCUCCGUCAGACUGCGUUUCAGAUUGCUCUGUUUCGCUUUGAAACGCGGGUGCUGAAAAAAGCUGCUUGCUCUGCUCCUGGCUCCUUCUAACACCGCUCCCGGCCUCCGCUCCGUGCGGCCGACGCGCGACCAGCGGCUGCCCGGCCAGCGGGAGCCUUCACGGCCUCGGCUGGAGGGGAGGUAGAGUCAGCAACCCACCCGCUCCGUGCUCUUCCUGUAAGUUUUUCUUGUAAUGGACCCAAAUGUUCCAUCCUACGAGAAGAAACCCCUCUCCCAGGGGAGAUUAUUUUUAUAGGGCUCCAAAGCCUGGAGAUGGGGUCAGUGGAAGCUGUGCCCAAGGCAGAGCAGAGCUGGUUUUGGUGAAGAGACAUUAGAACUGAGACCCCACUCGGAAACCCAGGGAGCACCAUGUGCCUUUGCCGAGUCCUGGGAGGUGAAAUAGGGAGAGCGUUUCUGGGGACUGCCAUGAAUUUGGACAAGCCCUUCUGCUGAGGCUGCGGCUUCGCCCCUGGCCCUUGACCCAACAGGAGGCAGGGCUGCCAGGAGAAAAGAACCUAUACAGGGUGGCAAAACCUUUCACAUAAGUCCCAUUGAUCUGACCCUCAUCCCCCACUCCCUCCACAGAAGCCACAUCAUGAAAGCCCCUCUUUAUAGGUUCACCUUCCUGCCUGCUAUAUGCUUGUUUACAUGGCUGCAGCCAAGGCAGCCAGUGGCUUUCACCCGUGAUCUGAGUGAGCACCAAGGCUGGGAACCUUGAGGAGAAGAGGGCAUGGGAAGGAUGUGUCCCACUGCCCCACAGUUCUCCUGCGGCCCCAUGGAGGCCCUCAUGGUCCCCAGCCUUCUCUCUGAACUGCCUGCCCACACGGAAACGUCCCCAUGAAAUCUUUGUUUGCUCCGUCCUGGGUAGGGCAGUCUCUGCAUUUCUGCCAGGAUAAAAAAUAUUAAUGAUCACCAGGUGAGUCAAUGCAUUUAUCAGCACGGGGGGUUCGAAGGGCAGAGUUCAACUGUGGUUCAGGUUAAUUGGAUGCGGAGCCACGUCCUCAUGCUUGCGUUGCCUACAAAGUGCUCAACUGUGCCAUAUUAUCACCAAAUCCGUGGUAGGUAAACACAGGAAGAAUGUGAUUAAAAUAACUCUCGUGCCAUAUCCUUCUGCGUGUUAUCACGCUCAUGCAGGCUCUGAAUGCUGGGUAAGGAGCCCCUGUCGGCCACUUCUCACUGAACUGUGCUCAUCGUGGUGCCGGCCCGAUCAGCAGAGCGCGUUCUCCACUUGUUUACAUCUGCUUGCUGAAUCACGUUAUUGAUGAUUGCACGGUUUUGUACCGAAACACCAUGGGUGAUUCAUCAGCUGACCUUGCCGUGCUCAUGUUCCCUCGGUUACGUGGCGGCAGGAGGUUCUGGAAGCGAUAUCAGCCGACUCGGGUCCCACAUCUCCCUGAGUGUCCCCGCGCGUGUCUCCGUGUCCCUUCCCGUGUCCCCGUGUGCGCAGCGGCCGCAACGCUCCUUCAGCACCACGGACAGCAGCAGCACAGACACGGCGCUCGCGGGCGCUGUCCGUGGUGCUGCAAGCGGGGCGCGCUGCCUGCAGGCAGAAUGAGCGCUGCUGCCCGUCUGCCCUCCGUUCUACACAUGGAUUUCCUUCCACUGAAUUUUGAGACUAAUUUGGUAGUCUGUAGAUGUAACUACAACUAACACGUAAUAGCACCUGUAUCAAACCUGUUUUGUAUACGUACUGCUGUUUCUUAGCAUUGAAAUGAACAUACAGGCUUGUAAAGACCAUUUGAAAGGUGUUUAGUGACUUGAAAUGUUAGUAGUUUCUUCAGUUUCUUGUGCUGUUCAGUAGUGUCUGAACAAUCUGCUCAGUAAAUCGUGAAGCUGAGUGGUAAGUCAUAUCUCUCAAGUCCCAACUUUGUGAAAUAACAUCCCGCCGUGUCUUUUUGUUCCUCGUUAUUUCAGCAGACACUAAAUGCUCUGCAGACAUUUGAAUGCUGUUUUUGUUAACCAGGAAGUUUUUGUCAUCCUCUUGGUCAGCUGACAAAGAAAAAUCUGACCACUUUCGUCAUUAAGUACGUUUCUAUCUCUUUUUCACUCUACUAUUUUAGUAAGAAACUAUUUGUCUGCGAAGAUAUGUUACUCUGAGAUCUUCUAAUUUCUGUUCUUCACUAUUUUUAAAUUUUUUUCAGCAUUACUUCUUUUUUUCCCACCUAAUAUUCUGUUCUUAUCUCCCCUUCACCUGGGUAAAACAAACAAACAACCAACCAACAACAAGAACAAAACCAACAAACCAACAACCCUCAAAUAUUUUUCUACAUUUAAAAAACAACAGAAUUUGUUUGUGGCAAGGAACUGUAAAGGAGAGAAAAUAUUUGGCUGAAGGAUUAUUUCCCAAUAACUUCACAUCGUUCUUUCCUUGCUCUUUGUAGUGGCAUUUUUACUCAAACCUUGCACUUCUUUUUUUCUGCACGGAAUUUCUGCACGGAAUGUUCCUGCCAUCUAUCCAUUGCAAGGGGCUUUCUCAUCCCUUACAAAGCAAUCUUUGGAUUGGAAGCCGAGCUCUGCAGGAUUGUGGAGCAUUAAUCUGACAGGGAAAGCAGGAAAAGGUCUUGCAGUGCCACCAGUCUGCCCCAUUCCUCAGGAAUUGUCAGUGAUGGGGAUUUUCUGGCUACCUAGGCAAUCUCUCCCAGAGCUUGCAGGUACAAAAAUCCUUAAUGACUAGCCUUAAUCUCCCUUUUUGUCUUUUAAAUCCUUUACUUCUCAUCUUAUCCCCACUAGACAGAGGGGGAAAAAAAAAAAAAAAAAAAAAAAAAAA